AACCCUCGCGGUCCGUUGAGGUAGUAGGUUGUAUAGUUUAGAAUCAUAUCCCGGUGAACUAUGCAAGCUUCUACCUCACCGGAAUAUCAGGAUUCUUCUC
rnacentral:pre_miRNA from 13 species